GCCAUGCCAGUAGACGUAGAAGGCCCUGGUCUAUGAGUCCGUGACUCUCCCCAUCUCCCCAGGAGGAAAGGUCUGUCCGGUAGUAAUCGUGGGUAGUCUACCGCCAUCUCCAUGAGAUGUGGGAACCAGGGUUGUGACCUCCAGAACGGAGUUAUCAGAACUAUAGUGCCUUUGCAAUGCUGUAGGUAUGCCAGGGUCCGAAUGAUUAGAUUGAACAGGGGGAAUUCAUACGACCGGCUCCUGGACCAAUCUUGAAGGAAUGCAUCUGUUGCCUUGGCUUCCGGAUCUGGCCUCCAACUGAAGAACUGAGGCAGUUGGGUAUACAGUCGGGAUGCAAAGAGAUCCAAGUGUAGGCCAAUGACUUGGCAAUGUCUUUAAAUAUAGAUGGUUGAAGUUUCCAAUCUCCCAUGUCCCUCAGAUAACGGGAGUUUCAAUCCGCCGUGUAAUUAUCCAGACCCGGAAUGUGUUCUGCAGGCACGGAAAUAUUGUGUCGCACAUAAUGCCAGAAGUCUCGAGCCAAUACUGCUUAGAUCUGUGAUUUGGUUCCACCCAGGUGAUUGAUAUAGCGGAUGGCGGAAACAGUCUAGUUUUAGAAGAAUUGAACAAGAAAUGUUCUUGGGAGAGAGACUACGAAUGGCAAAAUAAUCUGCCAAUAGUUCAAGGCAAUUGAUAUGUAGAAAUGAUUCGUCUGUGGACCAUCUGCCUAUGGUGAAUAUGGGUCCGCAAUGUAGGCACGCGUCAGAUUCGGUUAUGAGAUCUGGAAUGCACCCCGAAGAUUGCCCGCCCAUUCCACGCUUCCAUGUGGGCCAACCACCAGGUCAGUUCUUCACCGGAUUCCUCGUCUAGUGAAAUGUGUGUUUCGUAUGAGUGACCGCAUCUUAGGUAAGAUGCUUUCAGUCGCUGUAAUGCCCAAUAAUGUAACGGACCCGGGAAAAUCGCCUAGAUGGAGGAGGCCAACAGACCAAUGACUUUCACUAGUUGCCGGAGGGAGAUGUUCGGACGAUUCAUCACAUGUCUUUUUUCUUUCUUGAUAUUUUUUGUCGGUAGACAUAGAAUCUGUUGAACAGAAUAGACUUGAAAGCUUAGAAAUUCCAUGUGUAGGGAUCGUUGAAGAACUGAUUUUUCCCAGUUCACUAGAAAACCUAGGUUCUGAAGAAGUUGGAUGGUCCAUGUUAAGUGGAUUUUCAGUAGCUCCUGCGUUUGUGAAAACAGAAGGAUGUUGUCUAGGUAAAUGAUUAGUCGUACUCUGUGUAACUGUAGAAAUGUCACCACUGGUUUCAGAACCUUUGUGAAGCACCAGGAAGCUGAAGACAGGCUAAAUGGGAAGCAUGUAAACUGCCAUUUCCUUUUUUCCCCAUUGGAAUUAUAGUAGGUUUCUGUGGUCCUCCACAACAGGGAUUGUCAGAUAUGCAUCCUGUAGGUCUAAUUUGACCAUUCAGUCCGCAGAUAGCAAUAGGUCUGAUGCAGUGAAUACCCUCCAUUUUGAAAUGUCGAUAAUGGAUGAAAGCAUUCAGUGGUCGCAGAUUUAUGACCGGUCGAGCACACUCACCCUUUUUUGGGACUAGAAAGAGGGUUGCUCACAAGCCCUGGCAUAUCCCAAGGGACGACUUCUAUAGCGUUUUUGGACCUCAGCUCCAUGAUCUCUUUGUAGAUUAGGUCGUGAUGUUCAGUGGACAUAGUUAGAACCCGAGGUGGGGUUUCCUGCACGGGCACAACGGUUAGUUCUAAAUGAUACUCUGGAUUGUGUGUAAGACCCAUGCAUCAGACGUAAUCAUAGUGCAGGCUUGGUAAAACAGGUGGGGAAAAUGGGGAUAAAUAGUACUCACCAUAAGGAUGUUUUCCCUGGGUCGUUCUUCGACCUCCAUGGGCGUUCCAAGGUUGUCCUCUAGUUUGGAAGAAGGGGGUAUAAGUGCGUUCCUGCACUGGUCUGUGUGGGUUGAAGGAGCAAACACCCACUUCAUGGAAGACUGCGCUUUGUCAAGCGCUGUGAAUGUCUUCACAUAUGAUCCAAGGUCCUUGACAAAGGACUCGCCAAAUAGGAGACCUUUAGUGUCCGCUCCUGGCUCAUUGGUAGCCAUACUAGCCAAUUUUGGUUUGAUUUUUAGUAAAAUGGCUCUCCUGCAUUCACUGGACAUUGCUGAAUUGGCAUUACCGACCAUGCACACCAGGCGUUGCAGCCAUCCAAAAGCCACCUUAAAAUCCAAUUGGGUUCCCCCCGACUGUGCGGCUUCCAGUAACUCGUAUAACUUGGUAAUCGGGCCUAGGGUGUCGAGGAAUUUGUCUUGACAGUUUUUUAGUGAAAAGUCAAGGCCCUUUUUUGGCUUCCAGGCUGUUUUGGCCAAAAAUUGGACAAUCUGUGGGUCUACCUAUGGGUUUUUUGCUACCAUGUCUGGUAUAAUAGGUCAGGGUCAUUGGUCCCUCAGUUUAUUACGACCCUCCUGGGAGAGAAGUGAGAGAAGUUUACAAACUAUUAGUGCCAGGUAUAGCGCAAUAUACCCCGGUGGUUCCCACUCUGCGGAUCGUAGGUGGUGUAGGUCAUCCGGGUCGAAAAAGGGAUUGCCUUAGUGUCCUGGAGUUCACCUGACCCUGCCAAGUCAGAAUUUCUUCCCUGCAAGGUUCUUGUCAUCAGACAUGUUGUCCUCAUAAGGAUCGAAGAAUGGCUCGUCUGAUCCCUCCUCCUCACUUUUUAUCCGAAUCGGACAUUGUAUCUUGGGUUCUCGCCCUUUUUCAAUUUCUGGCUGCUUUUCCCCGGCCAGUGGCUUUGUUGCGCGGUUGUUGCGCGCCAUCUUGGACAGCCUGAGGCCUGUCAGUCAAGCCAGGGGUCUCCUGGUUGUGUGGAGGGAUUAUAAUGUGCUUGCGCUUGCUCAGGGCUUUACGGCCCGGCAAUACUACACUAGAAGCGGAGGGGCUUCAGUAGCAGGGUGUGCCUGCAUCAGUGCCUGUGUAAUGGAGUGGGUAAUAGUGGAGGACAUAACCCCCAUGGCCGAUGUUAAGGCCUUGUUAAUGGAGUUAGUCAUUGUCCAACAGGCUUUGGAAUUCUUCUGAAGUCAUUAAGUUGGCGUGAUCCAAGGGGGUCAAAGAUAGGGGCCCCAGUCAAAGUCAGAGGGUGGCCAAAAGGCCCAUUGGCAGUAGACUGCAUGCUGACACAACAAUAACUGAAUCCCACUAAAGUGUGCUCAAUUAAUAUAUCUAGCCCAGCAGAGCCACUUAGGUCAGAUCCUGAGAGAAACCCCUAUAAAGUAUAGCAACAGGGGAAAAAGUUGUCGAAGUGAGAUAAGGAUUGCUUAAUCCAGCCACACUAACCUAAGGAGCUAACAGGAGAAAAGCUUACUGCAACAGAUUAAAAAACUUAAUACCAGGUACAGGGAGGAUGCCAGAGGAAGCAGUGUCCCGUCAGCUAAACGGACCUGCAAACGGACCUGCAAAAAAGGCACACGCAGCAGUUGAAGUGUUCUGCGCGCAAAAAAAGACGCGCCCAGACUCAGUGAAAGCUCGUGGCAAAAGCCGCGUGCAGGUCUCGGCGACCGCGGUUUCCCACCGGCAGAGGGAACGGCUGUAGUAGGGGGACCUGUGUUGCUUUCCCUCAGCCAGGCAAAUAAUUGCCGAGAGGGAGUCAGGGAAAGGGAUCCAAGAGGGAAGGGAGGGGGUCAGGCCACCCCAGACAUGUAUUAAGGGUAAAAUAUCCAGAACACACCCCAGACAUGUAUUAAGGGUAAAAUAUCCAGAACACUCCCCAGACAGUAAAGCAAUCACAUAGAAGCAACUAAAGCAACAUAAUAUGAUUGUUAGCGAUAAAAGUACAACAAUGCAGUGUAUGAACAAAAAAUGUACUUAGCUGGUUUGAGGGAGCAGCGAAGGAAGAGUUUGAGGAGUGCAACACCUGAUAUACUACAUGCCUAGUGCUGAUUGGUUGCACUGUUACUAUGCAAUGUUAUGUUUAUUCUCUCUCUUUUGUAUACAUCUCUCUUCACUGCGGAGGGAAAUUAACAGAGAGAGUAAGCUUAAUAGGAGCCUCUGUGUCUUUAAUAAAAUUGCCCACAACUGACUAGCUACAAGUAAAGCAUAUACUCACACAGUAGCCUCCCCUCUCUUAAUGGAGGACAUUAUUCUUCUUGCUACAAAGUAUAAUUUGUGUUGCAUAGCCCAUAUAUACUGAUUGUCAUUGUAUACCAAUUGCAAUUUUCAUGUUAU